rnacentral:misc_RNA from 1 species
GAAUGGCAAAAAAAAUUCAUAUAGCUGAUCCCAAUUAAUUUGGGAUUAAUGUUAUCAAUUGUAGGCUUGCAAUCAAACUUGAAAGAGCACAUGCUAAAACUAUCAAACUGCUAACAUGGCAUAUAUUUUAUUCAAAAAAAAAUCAUAUUAGCAUAUGGAAUGGUAUAUUAAGUCUAAGACCUAUAACAUGCGAUUAAUUUUAUUUUGAAAAUUAUUAAUAAUUAUGUAACACUUGAAAAUUGCAAAAACUGAUCUUUUCAUCGCGUCUUCUCUCUUAUCUUUCCCUCCUGCUCCUUAAAUAUUUUAUGAAUAAAAAGUACAUUGUGUCAAAUAAUUUCAAAAUUUUGGGACACUAA